GCGCCGGGACCGGGCAGCGGGGAGCGCGAGCGCGGGACGAGCGCGGGUUCAAUUAGCGAGACAAAGCAAUCAUGGCGGAGCAGGCACACCGGGCUGCGCGCCCCGAGGACUCGGCGACCGCCCCGCGCCCUGGCCGACACAUGAGACUAUUGCCCUCCUGAAAACAUCAACUGCUCUUCCAGAAUGGGAUAGUAAGAUUUUCAGUCCACUCUGCUAAGUGUUGUGGUGAGCAGAGCGAGUCCGCUGCCUUUGGACCUACCAGUUUGGGCUUCUCCCAGAAGCAGAAAACCAACUAUAAAUAUGAAAUCAAUUUCACUACUGGACCCAGACUUCACAUCAGAAACAAACUUCUCACCUAAGUGUCUGCAAUGCAAACAGCAGAAUCAAGGACAUAAGCGUGUAUCCUAUUUUAACCUGCCCAUGCAGGCAUCGGCACCUGACUGUAAUUUGGGGACCACAAAUUGCAGUGGUUCAGCACUUGUGGCUCUCUAAUAGAUGAAUUUACAAGUUUUUGAAGGCGAUAAAAACAGAUGGUAACCUCAGUGAUGGAAAUGAUCAUAGGUUACAAAAAAUGUAUAUCGCUUUAAAGAGAAUUCUAAUCAGCUGUCAACAGUAGCUCAAGAAAUGCCCAUCCGUCAUCCUUUACAUCGAAUCUCCAGCCAUUGCACCCAAGUGGAGAGACAGUCAGCCCCCCGUGCUAGGACCUGCAAAAUCAAGUACAUGAGAGCCCCAUGGUGAGAACUACAAGGAAGACGCUGUGUCAUGAGCGUGUAACGGAUUUGAAUGAGACUGAUGCCACUUUCGUUAUUUGCAAGAGAACUCGAACCCACCUUGGCGACAGGAACUGCCACCAAAGGGCCUCAUUAAAACAGCAGUCAGCACCUUGGUGAAAAGAUACAGUGCUCGGCGUGCCCAAAUGUGACAGAAAAUCUGCAUUUUGUAAAUCUGACACCUUUGAUAGAUUAUACAGUGUGAAGCCAUUUCUUCGAAGCAUUAUGAUAACGCUAAAGGUUCUCUUCUGAAUCCAACUUUGUUGCAUUCGCUAGCUACAACAAUGUGAAAAGGGGCCAACUGAAGAAAAUGAUGUGAUGUAAAGCUCUGCAUGCAAAGGGGUGAGAACACAGCUGUGGGCUUUUCCGAGGGCCACUUCAUCUCGGGGUAACACUGCUCUGCGUCCGAGGAGAUUGCUUACGGAUACAGCAGUGUCUGUGAGGAAGAGUACUUAGGCUUGCCGACGAAGAAAUUCGUGUUAGAUCCUACAUGAGAAUGAUCACCGGCUUUUCAUCCUAAAUCAACAAACCAACAAACAAAAAGCAGAUAAAAAGACAAAUGAAAAGAACCAAACAAUGUUUCACAAGUGCACCCAGACUAAGGGAGUCGGUGAAAACUUUGUUCUUUAUUUCACAAAAGACACCUGGGAAAGCUGAGACUCUGGAAUGGCGCAAUGUAAUGUACACAUGCUGCAAACAUGGACAAAGCUUCUCACUUAACUCAAGAUAACUGCCCUAGCAGAACCGGAUGUUUAAAUGACGGAUGGAUUGUAGAAGUCUUGCUGCAGUUUUCCGAAGUGAAGACUCCAUUCUCACCAUACCUUCUCCCAACCCAGAAGAAGAGUUGGCUUGUCCCUUUGCCUGGGGAGUCUGGUUCCCAGUGCUCCAUUCAGGGGUUUUUAUGUGGACAAUAAGCAGAUGACAGAGGUGGGAAAAAAAGAAGACUCCACAGAAGAAAUUGCCUCCAACAGUUCUGUUAGAUGUAGAUUUAUACUUUCGCUGUCGCCAUAGGGCACCAUGGUGUUGCUUUAUAACAGAACUUUCAUAACAUUCUCUGAUAUUUGGCUUUGAAGUUAAUAGUUUGCAUUGCCAUCUAACUGAGCACUGUCGUAGGGCUGAGCACUGUACUAUGACUGGACACUGUCCCUGUCAAUUAUUCCUGGCUAUUCCAGCAAGAGGAGGCAAGUCCACAUCCCACUUUCCCAGGACUUCACUCUUUUUGCUUAAAUGAGACUGCAGCGAUCUCUUUACUCAGAAAAAAAAAAAAAAAUCUCUCAAAUAGACGUCCAGACCAUUUGAUGUGUAUGAUUUAUAAAUUUCAUGAUGAAUGUACAAGCUAUUUAGUAUAAUAGUAAAGUAUCUUUACUCAAUGGAGAAAUAAUAGAAAAGGUUACUAAGCCUCACUUUGCCUUACGUUUUGAAUGCACAGCUUGGCAACAGAGUGCUAUGUAUAACAGCUGUAAUUCAAAUGAAGACACAUCUGCCUGUUUAUAUUUUCAUACUGAAAGUGUUCGAGGACAGAUUGAUAAUCAGAUUUAGACAUGCCAAGGCAAUCCCUUGUUCUUUCUGAAAUACGCGUUGCCGUUUAGUCCUGUUGACAUUCCCUUCUUAGGGUUUGGUGUACCCUGGCUUUGAGUUCAUUUACUAAAAGGGUUGGAUUUUUUCCCUCAUUGUGAUAAGAGAAACCAGUUUCCAUUUAAAUGAUUCCAUUUACGUAUUUGUUGUUAUUAAUGCAGCUUAUAAAGGAAACAUUUCAAUGAGGGGAACCUUGAGAGUAAUCCUUGACACUCUGGAAGGGAUAUGGCUUUAAAAAAGAAGAAAAAAUAAUAAUCUUGAGUCAGUCCCUUCCUUCCUUCCUUCCUUCCUUCCUUCCUUCCUUCCUUCCUUCCUUCCUUCCUUCCUUCCUUUCUUUCUCUUUUUUUUGGAGGGGUUGGUGGUCAGAGCUAUUAAAUUUUAGUCAAUUGCUGGAGGGAGUGACAACCUUCUUGGCUGAGACACCUACUUGAAAUUACACUUAGGGAGAAAAGAGAGAGGCAGAGAGAAUUGCUUCAUCAGACCAGCCAAUCCCGAGACUCUUACUGUUCUUAAUUGUUGACCUCUCCCAUGUGGGUCAUGCGAUGUGGUAGCAACUCUCCCUUCAAAUAAAGAUCCUUCGUACCUCAUCAGAAUGCGCUUGUUAGCAAUGAUAAUGGUUCACAAUCUGCACUUAGCCACGUGAAAUACAAUGUUCUCCUUUAGAAUGUGGAGGUUUCAGGCCUAAAUUAAUACCUUGGUAUGUGUGUCAUUAUAUUAUCUGAAAAUCAUUUGAUACGAAAGGCAAAAUAUCUGUGUGAUGCUUUUGUUCUCCAAAGAGUUUGAAGUACAGAAUAUAUUGAAUUUGGGAGAAAAAGUUAUUGUGUGCUAUCUACUGCUAAUUGCUGAAUAUCCUUUAGCCUUUAAAAUGCUGUCUUUACUUAGGAGGUUCCAGUAUUUGAAAAUAAAAUGCAUUUUAGAAAGUUAUAUUUUUCUCAUCAAAUAUUUGAAACGUAAGCUGCUUUAUAUUAGUGGGUCUGAGCUUCUUUAAAAAAAAAAAAAAAAAAAAAAAACACCUUUUAGAGUGAAUUCUCUUGGUGUACGUGUCUGGCCUUGCCCUACAAACUGAACUUAAACAGGGCAUCAUGAAUAGAAUGUGUGGCUUUAAAAUUCAAUGGAUUAUUCACAUCUGUUAGGUGCGAAUUAAAGAGUACGGAAACAGUCCAUUCUUAUGUCUCCGAGCUGUCACUGCCAAAGGCUACUGACUAGUCUGUGUCAACAUCUGUGUUAGCUCUUCUGUAGCUUUCUUGAAUCUGUGUGACUGAACAUUUUAUUUACCGCUGGAAUUUUUUUUAGAAGUAGUUUUAAGCCUAUGCUUGAUGCAUUAUUUUACUGAAAGUUAUUAUUAGAAGUAGUGGCUUUCUAUGUACAGUUAGCUGGAAAGAACAUUAGCCAAAUGUUGUGAUUCAUAUUAUUGAAAGGAC